UGUUGGUUUCUAUCUGCAAUUCCUUGAUGGUGCGAAUUCAAUGUGUCACUAAUUUUUUUUUUUUUUAAAUUGCCAUAUACAUGGAAGCGAUUCACACAAAAUAUUGAAUUUUUCGCAAAUGAUCAGAGGAAAAGAUUGCUGAAAAAGAUAACUCGCUUAUUGAAAGCAAUUUAUAGCAUACAUGCAUACAUGGUUAGAUAUGGAGUUCCAUGUAUUGUUUGCUAUUUUUGUAUGACAUUUGAUGCAUUGUUCAUGUUUAUGAAAUUUCUAGCUUUCUUAUGCAGGAACCCAGCACUGAGGUGCUUCAAAAACACUAGAGUACAGAAUGGUUAAUGCUUUGGGUAAUCUUAUUUUCUAUUGGUGUUUUAACUGUAAAAUUUUCUAUUUAGAUUAAAAUAUAAAUUGUUAUGUAAUCCCAACAUUCUCCUAUACUUUUUCGUUGCCAUACAUAUUAAGAAAUGCAGAAUGCUGAAUUUAAAGUCCUAGUUAGGUUUAGAUCAUACCAUACAAAUUUGGUCUGCAAAGCUCAUCCCUGCAUCAGCAUUAUAACCAUCCUAUUUUGUAAAAGUCAACUUUGAAUGCGAAUAAAGUCUCUCAUACAUUUGCUUUUUCUUUACCACCAAUCGGAGGAAGAGCCAUAGAUCGAUGGUUGAAAGUCAGCUGCAAAGGGCAUAAACUCCCAAGGUUUCAGCGCGUGACCUGUAGCUGACAUCGAUAGAGACACGAUUACCAUUCACGGUUCACGUAAAUGGAGGCAGCCCUGGCCGAGUAUCAAGGAGCUGAUGUGGUAAUCUUUCAUAUGUUCUUCAAAUAGGGGAGAGGCGAUCUCAGUCGAAUUAAGGUAAGACCUAUUAUAAUCCAUAUGAAGAAAUCUGAUGUACUUCGAUAGAGAACCUGUGAGAACCUGUGUUCAACAGCAUAUAAACCUCAAUGUUGCUUCGAUACUGAACCUGUUUUCAACAGCAAAUGGAACUCUGUCUUGCUCCAGAACACUUGUGUUUAACAGCGUUCUGAGUGAAACUGUGGUUAGCAGCAGCUUUAUUGCGGAAAAAAGAGUUGCAUAUACUGUAAUAAAAAAAGUUAUUGAAAUGAACUUCAUCUGAAGAAUAUUACAAGUUUAACAAGACAUUAUCAAUUGUUCAUGUACUAACAUUACAUCUUAUAACAAGUGCAUUAUGAACUGUACAAUAUUUAUGUUUUUCAUUCACUUACAUAUAAUGAAGGUAUUAAAAUAUUAAGGGAGUAAUAUAUUCUGAAACUUUUUUUUGUUGAUAUUUAUGAAAACAAUUAUAAAGGGCAAUACAUGACUUGCUAUUUGCAAAAUUAAGGCGUUAAAAAAGGUGUUUGUUUCUGGUUAUAUGCCAUGUUAUAUAUGUUAAUUUUUAGUUCACCAGAGCACAAAGUGCUCAAGGUGAGCUAUUGUGAUCGGUCUUUGUCCGUCGUCAGGCAGUCGGUCCGUCCGUCAACAAUUGCUUUAAAAACAUCUCUGAAACAACCUGGCCAAAUUCAAUGAAACUUCACAGGAAGCUUCCUUGGGUGUCCCUCUACAAAAAUACAACAAGGGGUUACGAUUGAUCAACAACAACAACAGCAACAACAAAAUGGCCGACUUCCUGUUUUGCUUUAAAAAAACCCAUCUCCUCUGAAACUUAACUACCUGUCCAAAUUCAAUGAAACUUUAUAGGAAGCUUCCUUGGGUGACCCUCUACAAAAAUACAACCAGGGGUUACGAUUGAUCGACAACAACAAAAAGGCCAACUUCCUGUUUUGCUUUAAAAAAAAAACAUCUCCUCUAAAACUACCAGUCCAAAUUCAAUGAAACUUUACAGGAAGCUUCCUUGGGUAACCUUCUACAAAAAUACAAGGAGUUACAAUUUGUUUUGCUUUAAAAAACAUCUCCUCUAAAACUACCAGUCCAAAUUCAAUGAAACUUUACAGGAAGCUUCCUUGGGUAACCUCCUACAAAAAUAGAAUAACGGGUCGUGAUUGAUCAACAACCUGGCCGACUUCCUGUUUUGCUUUAAAAAAACAUCUCUGAAACUACCAGGCCAAAUUAACUGAAACAUUACAGGAAGCUUCAUUGCAUGACCCUCUACAAAAAUACAACUAGACAUUGAGAUUGAUCAACAACAACAACAACAACAAAAUGGCCGACUCACUGUUUUGCUUCAAAAAAAAUCUCUGAAACUACCAGUCCAAAUUCAAUGAAACUUUUGCAGGUAGCUUCGUUGCAUAACCCUUUAUAAAUAUAAAACAAGGCAUCGUCAUCAGUAAAGAUAUAUUUUAAUUGCAACAUUUUUAUUGAUGCUUUAUCACAGAGUUGUGGCCCUUUGCUUAGGUGAGCGUUCUAGGGCCAUCAUGGCCCUCUUGUUUUAAUAUGGUAAGUGAAAUUAUUGUCAAAGAGCAUUUUCGUUGUCAUAUGGCAGAAAGAACUAAUCCAGUUUUUUUUCUGAAAAAAAUCUAGAUAUGAAAUUAGCAAAAGCACUAUAUUUCGGCCAAAAAAAUCAGAUACAGAUUUUUUUGCAAAUGAUUUUUUAUGGUAUUUUUUUGUUUCGAGUUAAUGGUAAAUAAAUGGGAUCAAUCGGGAUGCCAGAAACAUACCCUUUGU